UACGUAGGGGGCUAGCGUUGCUCGGAAUCACUGGGCGUAAAGCGCACGUAGGCGGACUCUUAAGUCGGUGGUGAAAUCCUGGAGCUCAACUCCAGAACUGCCUUCGAUACUGGAAAGCUCGAGUCCGGGAGAGGUGAGUGGAACUGCGAGUGUAGAGGUGAAAUUCGUAGAUAUUCGCAAGAACACCAGUGGCGAAGGCGGCUCACUGGCCCGGUACUGACGCUGAGGUGCGAAAGCGUGGGGAGCGAACAGG
rnacentral:rRNA from 1 species